ACCCACUGCCAUCGGUUAUGUACGUAUCGUUUCGCUUCUUUUUCCUAUCUUCCCUCCGUUCAUCACCCGGCAAUAUCGCGCGGUACGGUUCCAGUCUCUUGCUCGCGGCGGCGCGCGUCCCAGCCGUUGGUGCUCCUGCGCCCGGCGGCGACGGGCCUCCCAGCGUCGUUGGCUUGCUCGCAGUUGCGCUUCCCCUGUCGCGGCGGCGCGUCCCAGCUUCCCUAUCUCGGCGGCGCGUCCCAGCUUCCCCUGUCGCGACGACGCUUCCUGCAACCUGCAUGUCCCUCGCUCGCGCAAAAUUCCCUGCCUAGGUCGUUGCAGCACCAGCAUAAAAGGUCCUCCUCCCGGCCAAAACUAGGACCGACAACAGCUCCUGUACGUUGCAGGAUCUGGCAGCACCGGUGGGCGUGGCAUCUCCCAGCCAAAAAAGCUAGCAUGCCUAUAGCACCUGCAAGUUGCAGGAAGUUAUAACCAACAAAUUGGAAGACGCCCUAUAAGAAAAAUAUUUCAGUUGUGCUUUACUAAAGUAUGGCUGAGAAGGCGGUUUGGGAUAAUGCAACUUUGAAGCACUUGAUUGACAUCUGUAAGGAGGAGAUUUUAGCUGGUAAUAGACCUCAAGGUUGUUUCACUAGAAAUGGUUGGAAGAACCUAGAGGAAAAGUUUUUUGCAAGGUCUGGAACGAAGCUAGUGAAGACACAAUUAAAGAAUAAAUUAGAUAAUAUGAAAAAGGAUUAUACCCAGUUCAUGGAAUUGAAGAAUGCUGCCACUGGAUUAGGAUGGGAUGAAGCAAAUAAAAUUGUUGCUUGGUGGGCUGAACAUCUUGAGAAAUGCAACAACAGUGAGAGAGGUGUGAAGUCAACCACGUGAGGUUUCGAAAACAUGGACCCAAACACCUUGAUGAUUUACACUUUUUGUUUGAUAAGGUGCAUGUCACUGGAGCUAAUGCAUCCUGCCCUGGAGAAAUUUCCUCAGGUGAAUCAUCAAGUGAUGAUGAUGUGUUGGAGAUGUCAAAAAAAUUGAAGAUAGUGCUGCUUUUAAGAAACCUAAACCAGCAGGAAAGAAGCGCAAGCAAAUGUCCAGGGCAACCGAAGAGAAGGAGGAGAAGAGCCCCUUCUUUCGGAUGUACAAGAACACAUGCUUGAAGAUUGAAAGUGCAGCUGACAAGAUCAGAUCGAGUGUUGAAGCAUCGUCAGCUCCUACUCCAUCCAAUCAUGUCCCUACUAUUGCAGAUGCUAUGAGGUUGGUUAAGGAGUGUGGUGUGCAAGAAAAAACUUCUUUGAUGCACACAACUGUCAUGUUGAUCAUGAAGGCUGAAUUUAGAUAGAUCCUCAGUUUACUUGACACAAAUGAAGGCAGAUAUGAUUUGAUUGAGAGAGAGCAUGAGAAAGAGAUGAAGAAGCCAGCAUGAAGGCAGCUAAACUAUUAUUUGCUUUGAAUAAUUAAUUUAUGUAAUAUUUUUUAACUAGCAGAUUGUGUACUAUUGCUUCCAACCAUUAUUACCUGUGAGUUGUUUGU